rnacentral:rRNA from 1 species
UACAGGGGGUGCAACCGUUGCUCGGAAUUAUUGGGCGUAAAGCGCGCGUAGGCGGCUACUUAAGUCGGAUGUGAAAGCCCUUGGCUCAACUGAGGAAGUGCACCCGAAACUGAGUGGCUUGAGUACUAAAGAGGGUCGCGGAAUUCCCGGUGUAGAGGUGAAAUUCGUAGAUAUCGGGAGGAACACCGGUGGCGAAGGCGGUUCUCUGGGCCUGACCUGACGCUGAGGAGCGAAAGCGUGGGGAGCGAACAGG